rnacentral:rRNA from 1 species
UACAGAGGGUGCAAGCGUUAAUCGGAAUUACUGGGCGUAAAGCGUGCGUAGACGGUUACAUAAGUCGGGUGUGAAAGCCCCGGGCUCAACCUGGGAAUUGCAUUCGAGACUGCGUAGCUAGGGUGCGGAAGAGGGAAGCGGAAUUUCCGGUGUAGCGGUGAAAUGCGUAGAUAUCGCUUGGAACGCCGAAGGUGAAAACAGGCUGCUGGGGUGGCGCCGACGCUGAGACACGAAAGCCAGGGGAGCAAACGGG